rnacentral:rRNA from 1 species
AUGGACGCUGGCGGCGUGCCUAAUACAUGCAAGUCGAGCGAACAGAUGAGGAGCUUGCUCCUCUGACGUUAGCGGCGGACGGGUGAGUAACACGUGGAUAACCUACCUAUAAGACUGGGAUAACUUCGGGAAACCGGAUCUAAUACCGGAUAAUAUAUUGAACCGCAUGGUUCAAUAGUGAAAGACGGUUUUGCUGUCACUUAUAGAUGGAUCCGCGCCGCAUUAGCUAGUUGGUAAGGUAACGGCUUACCAAGGCAACGAUGCGUAGCCGACCUGAGAGGGUGAUCGGCCACACUGGAACUGAGACACGGUCCAGACUCCUACGGGAGGCAGCAGUAGGGAAUCUUCCGCAAUGGGCGAAAGCCUGACGGAGCAACGCCGCGUGAGUGAUGAAGGUCUUCGGAUCGUAAAACUCUGUUAUUAGGGAAGAACAAAUGUGUAAGUAACUAUGCACGUCUUGACGGUACCUAAUCAGAAAGCCACGGCUAACUACGUG